rnacentral:rRNA from 1 species
GACGAACGCUGGCGGCGUGCCUAAUACAUGCAAGUAGAACGCUGAAGAGAGGAGCUUGCUCUUCUUGGAUGAGUUGCGAACGGGUGAGUAACGCGUAGGUAACCUGCCUUGUAGCGGGGGAUAACUAUUGGAAACGAUAGCUAAUACCGCAUAACAAUGGAUGACACAUGUCAUUUAUUUGAAAGGGGCAAUUGCUCCACUACAAGAUGGACCGGCGUUGUAUUAGCUAGUAGGUGAGGUAACGGCUCACCUAGGCGACGAUACAUAGCCGACCUGAGAGGGUGAGCGGCCACACUGGGACUGAGACACGGCCCAGACUCCUACGGGAGGCAGCAGUAGGGAAUCUUCGGCAAUGGGGGCAACCCUGACCGAGCAACGCCGCGUGAGUGAAGAAGGUUUUCGGAUCGUAAAGCUCUGUUGUAAGUCAAGAACGAGUGUGAGAGUGGAAAGUUCACACUGUGACGGUAGCUUACCAGAAAGGGACGGCUAACUACGUG